rnacentral:tRNA from 1 species
GCGGGGGUGGCAGAGCCUGGUCAAUAGCAGCGUUCUGCGUAGUGGGUGCGCGCGUUCAAAUCGCGUCCCCCGCA